rnacentral:rRNA from 1 species
GUAAUUGCAUUUAAGGGCAGAUGGUGGAUGCCUUGGGAUAUCAAGACGAUGAAGGACGUGGCGUGACUGCGAUAAGCCUCGGGGAGGUGUCUAGCAACCGUUAAUCCGAGGAUUUCCGAAUGGGGAAACCUAAUCCUGUGUGAACAGGAUUGUCUCGCGCAAGCGAGUCGUGUACCUGGGGAAGUGAAUCAUCUCAGUACCCAGAGGAAAAGAAAUAUAUUCCCUUAGUAGCGGCGAGCGAAAAGGGAGGAGUCUAAACCUUUUAUCGCAAGAUAAGGGGGGUUGCAAGGGAAUAGCGUCGGAGCCUUACCCCAAGAAAGCAGUAUCGAUCGAUUGUUGGGGUAAAGCAUCUGAGGGAGAGCACAAGUUGGAGAUUGGUUAGGAGAACGAGUCUGGAAAGACCGGCGAAACAGGGUAAAAGCCCCGUAUCCGAAAACCUCUUCAUGCUCCUUGCUAUUUUACUUAAGUACCUUGGGGAAAGAACGCCCCGUGGGAAACAGGCCGUACUAACGGCCAAGGCUAAAUACUUGAUAUCACCGAUAGUGAACCAGUACCGUGAGGGAAAGGUGAAAAGUAGGGGGGUGACCCCGAUGAAAUAGAAUCUGAAACCAUUUUGCCCACAAGGAGUCGGAGCUCUGCCGCAAGGCGGAGUGACGGCGUAUUUCUUGCUAAACGAGCCAACGAGUUUACGUAUAUUGCAUGUCUAAGGGCGUUUGACGUCCGUAGGCGUAGGGAAACCGAGUGCGAAAUGCGCGUUUAUUGCAGUGUGCGUAAGACCCGAAGCCAAGCGAGCUUGCCAUGACCAGGGUGAAGUCCCGAGAAAUCGGGGCGGAGGCCCGAACCCGUGAGUUGUUCAACCCUCUGGGAUGAGUUGUGGCAAGAAGUGAAAAGCUAAUCGAGCUUGGUCAUAGCUGGUUCUCCCCGAAAUAGCUUUAGGGCUAGCGUCCGCUGUGAGUCUUGGCGGUAGAGCACUGAAAAGAAUAUUUUGGCGCAAGCCAGAUAUUCUUAUCAAACUUCGAAUGCCAGGAUUUUAAAGGCGGGCAGUCAGAACAUGGGCGCUAAGGUCCAUUGUUCCUAUGGGAAACAGCCCGAACCUUCAUCUAAGGUCCCUAAAUUAAGCUAAGUGCAAAUUGAAGAGGAAGUGGAAUUCCUUUGAUAGCUAGGAGGUUAGCUUAGAAGCAGCUAUCCUUUAAAAAGUGCGUAACAGCUUACUAGCUAAGGAGUUCUGCGCCGAAAAUCUAUAGGGGCUUAAGCUUAAUACCGAAGAUAAGGAUUCUUCGCCUUUUGGGCGAGGAGUGGUAGGGGAGCGUCCUCAUUGCAGUGAAGCCGGAACGUAAGUGACGGUGGAGCGAUGAGGAGUGAGACUGUUGGCAUGAGUAACCGCAAUGCAGAUGAAAGCUCUGCACACCGAAAACCCAAGGUUUCCUUGGCAACGAUAAUCGACCAAGGGUGAGGCGGACCUUAGGAAGUGCCGUAGGGUACUUUUGAUGGACAGCAGGUUAAUAUCCCUGCCCUUCCGUCCAUUCCAACGCAGUGACGCAGAGAAAGCGUCUUGAAGGAUUAUUGGAUUUCCUUACCUCGACGCAAGUCGGGGAUUCAAGACAAAUUUUUUGCCCAGAAAAGCUGCGAAGGAUUAUGUGGACGGGAUCCGUACCGCAAAACUGACACAGGUGGGUUGGCGCAAGAAUGCCAAGGUGAACGGGUGAAAGCUCCUGAAGGAACUAAGCAAAAAAGCGAUCGUAAGUUCGCGAUAAGAUCUGCCCAUGCCAUAGCUGGCAUGGGCCGCAGCGACUGUAUCCCUAGCGACUGUUUACCAAAAACACAGGUCCGUGCUUAACUCGAAAGAGGAUGUAUACGGGCCGACACCUGACCAGUGCUGGAGUGUUAAAUCUGGGGGUUCUUGCCGCAAGGUGAGAGCUCACCGGCCUAAGCCCCAGUGAACGUCCGCGGUAACUAUAACCGUGUUAAAGUAGCGUAGCCCCUUGCCAGGUAAGUUCUGGCCCGCAUGAAAGGUGUCACGACUUGGGAACUGUCUCCAGGAGUUGCCCGGUGAAAAUGCAAUACCGGUGAAGAUGCCGGUUACCUGCGGCUAGACGGAAAGACCCCGGGAGCUUUACUGUAGCUUCCUAUUGUCUUAUGUUCUUGGAUGCGUAGCGUAGUGGGUAGGAUUUGAAGUUCGCCUCUCGGGGCGGAUGGAUCCGACAAUGAAACACCCAUCUUCUGAGGAGAUAAGACUAACCCCGAUUUAUUCGGGAGACCGUGGGAAGUGGGCAGUUUAAGUGGGGUGCUUGCCUCCCAAAAUGUAACGGAGGCGUUUAUAAGGUUGGCUAGCUCCGGAUGGAAAUCGGAGUGGUCGUGCAAAGGCACAAGCCAGCUUAACUGCGAGACGGAUAGGUCGAGCAGAUGGGAAACCAGAACUUAGUGAACCGAUGUGAGCUCAUUAGGAAGCUCAAAGAUCAACAGACAAAAGUUACCCCGGGGAUAACAGGCUAGUGGAGCCCACGAGUCCAUAUCUACGGCUCCGUUCGGCACAUCGAUGUCGGCUGACCGCAUCCUGGCGGUGGAGAAGCUGCCAAGGGUUGGGCUGUUCGCCCAUUAAAGCGGUACCUGAGUUGGGUUCAAACCGUCAAAAAAUGAACCUUUAACAUCGAUGAACACACGGCGGCUUUCACGAGCAAUCGUGAAUGUCAAAUCGACUCAUAUCGGUGGAGUCCAAUAAACUUCCCAAUCUGGAUUUAUUGGAGAAUACCGAGGGAAGUCAUCCUGAGAAUUAUCGAAGGAUUGACCCUGUAGAGACUACACGUCGAUCUCCUUUCAAGAGAAAGGAUGGUGGUAUAGUCCAAGCACUUAGUAAUAAGUGGUGUUAGCGUGAGACAGGUUGGUCCCUAUCUACCGUAGGCGCCGAGGCUUGAGGGGAGUCUUUCCUAGUACGAGAGGACCGGAAAGAACUAACCUCUGGUGUACCAGUUGUCCUGCCAAGGGCACCGCUGGGUAGCUAAGUUAGGACGGGAUAAGAGCUGAAAGCAUCUAAGCUCGAAGCCUACCCCAAGAUGAGGCCUUUUUAAGACCCCUCGGAGACCACGAGGUUGAUAGGCUCCAGGUGUAAGUCCCGCAAGGGAUUGAGCCGAGGAGUACUAAUGGUCAUUCAGCAAUUACAA